UACGAAGGGGGCUAGCGUUGCUCGGAAUCACUGGGCGUAAAGGGUGCGUAGGCGGGUCUUUAAGUCAGGGGUGAAAUCCUGGAGCUCAACUCCAGAACUGCCUUCGAUACUGGAGAGCUCGAGUCCGGGAGAGGUGAGUGGAACUGCGAGUGUAGAGGUGAAAUUCGUAGAUAUUCGCAAGAACACUAGUGGCGAAGGCGGCUCACUGGCCCGGUACUGACGCUGAGGUGCGAAAGCGUGGGGAGCAAACAGG
rnacentral:rRNA from 1 species